GUCGAAAUAGCUGUUAAGAGAGCGUUAGACUGAAAAUCUAAAGGCACCAAGUUCAAUCCCGGGUUUCAAUA
rnacentral:tRNA from 1 species